UUCCAACUUAGGACCAACCAGAGGAAGCCAGAUAUGCUCCUUCCACUGCACCACUUGCACUUCUAUGGAGCAAGCCUCAAGUGCCUUCAGUAGCCCAGCAAGCAGGACACCAGUGAGAGACUGGGAUUUUCCUUUCUAAUCUAAAUUCACCAUGAUUUCAACGAAGUACAAGGUGUCCUAAAAGCUGAAAAUGCUGAGGUUCUUCUCACUUGAUCAGAGGGAGGACUCCACGCUCUCUACCCUUGAAGAGCAGGUACGUCAGGUGCUCUGAAGAUCAGUUAAUUGUACCCAACAUCACCCCUGAGAGCUUAACUAUACCAUGUCCAAGACAAUGUGGAGGUUGCAGAUAAAGGCCAGUCCUCCUUCUGGGCAGAGAAGACAUGUUUGUAUUGUUCUCCUUGAAAUAUGUUAUUUUAUGUGAGGGAGAACAUUUCCCCAGAACGUAUUCCAUGACAGGGGCUAAAAAGCCUUUAUGCUAUUCAUUUUCAAUAACUUCAUUCCAGAUACACACAAAUCAGAUUGCACUGCUCAAAAGGUUCUUCUGUUAAAAUCUAACAUAAAGGAAUUUAUCUUAACUGUCAUUUCAAAUUUUCAUUUUUUUCUGGCAAAAGUUUUAGAUUAUAAAGAAAAAUAUUUUUUUUCCUAAUGUUAACUGGGUUUAUUGUCUGAUGUAUUUUUUAAGUCACAGCAUACUUGGUGCUACAUGACCUGAGGGGAAAAGAAAAAAUUAAUCUUUUAAACUAUAUCAUCUGAGGGGUAUGGAAGAAUAAACUACCCCUGAAGAUUUUAAAAUAUCAAAUUCUUAAGGAAAGCAUGAUCCUUACCAUUGGAGGUAAACAGAAAUCGCUUGUCUGACAGGGAACCACUGAAAUAAUAAACACAAAGAUGAGGAGGUUAGUUGCUUAACUGGAUCUUAAUGACUGGUACAGCGCUAUAGGAUGGGGCUCAGAGCCUUCCCACACCCCAUGAGGUCCUCAGAGCACCCGGCAAGGCUACUGUUAUUAUCUCUGUCAUUGGUAUUUCAUAGACCAAGAAACUCAGGCCCUUCGAAGGUAAGUACCUUUCCUAAAUUCAUAGAGGUGACAGGCAGCCAGGACUCUUGAGAUACUGCUUUUGAGUCACAAUCCUGUGCUGUUUCCAUCACGACACACUGUAUUGGGAAGGAACAGGCACAUAUACAGUCUCCAGGACACACUUAAAUCCCAAUUAAUGACUACGUAGUGAUGGAGACAGAAAGGAUGACUGCCCUGAACACUUCCUUUGCUUCAGAAGGCACCCCUACAGUGCCCCACUCGCUUCAACAAUCAAGGACCACUGAGACAUGAAGAUGCCUGAUCACUUUUAAAAGAACGAGCAAGUCAGUCUAGCUGCCUUUCCUACAGACUUCUCCACUCCUUCCCUGAGGGGUCCUGCCCCAGCAGCGUCGCUCCGCAGAGAGCCUCCGCCCGGGUCUCUCUCUCUCCAGUCACACUCCUACCUACUGCAGCAAGGACACCAAACCAUGAACCAGCUCCUGCUUCUGGAUGACAAGGUGCAGCUGGAGAAAACUCAGAGCACCUCACUGACGGGUCCUGAACUGCUGCAAGACAAGCCUGCACAUCUGGCAUUGAUCCCUGGGCCUCUGGACCCCCCAGUUCUGUACCUUGUAUUACUCUCCUGGUGAACUUAUCAAAUCAGCCCUGCUCGGCAGUUGUCUCCUUCUGCGGAAAAGAGGUUCCUAAGGCCUGAGAUCACAUGUAUCUUUUUGUAAAUCCCUCACCAACUCAAUGCUGUAACAAUAUGUAGAACGAAUAGAAAACUUGGAAUUCUCAAGAUUAAUCUUAUAGGCAUCGUACUUACUACAUUAGAUAUUACAGGUAAA